rnacentral:rRNA from 1 species
CAGCCGCCGCGGGAAUACGUAGGGUGCAAGCGUUACUCGGAAUUACUGGGCGUAAGGCGUGCGUAGGUGGUGGUUUAAGUCCGUUGUGAAAGCCCUGGGCUCAACCUGGGAAUUGCAGUGGAUACUGGGUCACUAGAGUGUGGUAGAGGAUAGUGGAAUUUCCGGUGUAGCAGUGAAAUGCGUAGAGAUCGGAAGGAACAUCUGUGGCGAAGGCGACUAUCUGGGCCAACACUGACACUGAGGCACGAAAGCGUGGGGAGCAAACAGGAUUAGAUACCCCGGUAGUCCCUGUCUCUUAUAC